AUAUGACUUUGAUAUAAUGUACGUUUAUAAUUUUUAUAAUUGGUCUCUCAUGCUUUUCCUUAUCUUUUCUGUGUCAGCCAUGUGUAAAGUUGGAACUAAUUACGAAACCAAAUAAAGAGUCCAUUUAGAGUGACCUCAUUGGAAAACAGCAUUUUUCUAGACAUACUCUCCUUUUAGCAAAUCCAGUUAAUUUACUGUUUUGAAAGUUUUGUGAAAAUAUUGGACACUCCUGAACUAUAGGGAAUGAUGAUGAUUCACGAUCUGGAACUUUGGUAAAUACUAAAAAAUCAUUUUGUCAUUUUUUUUAGCAACUUUGUGGUGUAGCAUUCUCUUAAUAUUCAAGAGAGAUACAGUGAGAUUUUGAAUUCCAACUUUCUACAAUUCCACUGUAAUAUAUUGUAAGUCACAGGUUUUUUCCUCAUUUGUAAAAUUGUACUCACCCCUCACUUCUGGGAACCAGAGGAUCCUCAAAUGGAAUUUGAGGUCACACUGGGUCCACUUGCCUGGGAAUGGCAAUUCAGUCACUGCUGACACAGAAUUACAAAUGACAAUGUGUUAAUGUAUUUUCAGGGUCACUCAAGAAUAGUCAGAACAAUUAAUAUUGAAGUCUGUGAAUGCCUUGGGUCUACAACAGUAGCUUAUGGUGGCAUUUAUUUUAUAGUUGAAGAAAUGGAGACAGAAUAGAUAGAAUGGUCGGUCACAGGUGGGACUAGAAUGCAGGUUGUCAUCAUAAGCCUCUUUGUCUGAACUACAGAUAAUGGCCGAUACAGUUGGUCUGGUUUGAGGAUUUUACGAAUUUCUAGAGAAAGCUCAAGCAAAACCAACAACCAGUGCUUCGUAGGUGUUUCACUCCUUUUUAAAAAAUAGUCAUCAGGUGGGAAUGUCGGCACUGACACACGGUUUCAGUUUGUAAACUAAGUCUUUAGUAAUCUUGACAUUUUCAGCAUUAUUAACUCAUUUUACCGUAUUUUCAUCUUCUGUAUUCAUACAGGCUGUAUCAUGAUAAGCCAUCAAUUAUAUUUCAUAUAAGAAGUCAAAUAAAACACUUCAUAUUUCUCUUUGGUUAGGUGUUCUGAAUAAUGGCUUAAAUCAGAUGGACUGGCAAACUGAGGACCUGGGCCUAUGUCUGGGAUCUCAAAUCCAUUUCACAAAUGUACAUGCAGUAACUGAAACCCUGAUAUUAAAAACAAAAACAAACCCUGACUGAGAAAGCAGUAAUGAAUCAUUAAAAUAUCACAGUUUUAGAAUUCGAUCUAUUCUUUGUGAGACAUCACAGAAAUAGAAUGUUGUGUUCAUCUUUUUAUUUCCUUAAUCCAUGUCUUUGCCUCAUACCAAGUAUAUUCCUACUCUAUUUUAAAAGGAUGGUCUGUCUGACUUUCUAUGAACUUCUCUCUCUUGCAACUGGAAAUUCUGCAGAUGUCUGCAGAAAGCAAAACACAUAAGUAGAGACCAGAGAUUUAUGUUCCCAGCUGCCUCCAGAUGAUGACAGACCACCUUACAGGGUUUGUCAGUGUCAGGUACUUCCUACAGUUAGGCAGAAGAACGAUGGUUGAUGUUCAGAAAGAGAGUUUUAUUCAUACAGAGCUAAAUUUUAAAAGAUCCCAUUAGCUCUAAGUUUCUGAGAUAUAGAGUCUCUUCUUGUACUUUCCAUACGGCAACUGUAUGGACCCGCUUUAUUUUUUUAUUUUUUGGGGGGAGGAGCUGUUACUUCUGAUUUAAAAUGUUCAGUUGUCUCUGUGUAGUAGUGGAAUGUUUUGGAGAUUCUGGUAGGUCGGUAUCUAAACUAUGUCUCCCAGAUUGCUGCAUAUUCAUGGAAGGUACACAAAUUUUUUUUGUUAAUAUGUAUAUUCAGAGUUUUAGUUUGAAAACCAUGGUCAUCGAAUCAGUGGUGCCUAGCUCAAUGCCUUGCUUCUUAUGCCCUGAAUCAGUUCUUAUCCAAUGACUUUGAACAUUGCACAAUUCUCACUGCACCUCCUGAAGCAAUGAAUGGAGACAAAUUAUGUAUUUAUUUUGAGUACAAUUGUAUUAAGUUCUGUCUUUUUUAUAAAUGGUUCUAUAUGAUAACUGUAUGGUUUUGGAAUACUUCCUCUCCAGCCGCAUCAGACAAUAGAGUAUGAGAGGGAGGCAUUAAUAAGGUGAUAUAAUUAGAUUCAGCGAAGUUUUGUUGUUUGGUCAUUUGGACUGGCUUCACGCCAGCUGAGUUUAAAAGGCUAACUCCUUUUCAACUCACCAUAUUAGCUUGAACUUGAAAGCUUUUUUCGAUUUUUGUUGUAUUUCCCCUUAGACUGCUCAGUUUUUGACAGGUGAGAAAAGAUAUGUUAAUCACUCAGUGUUUGACAUAUUGGGUGAUUUAUAUUUUUUAAUUAUUGUUUAGAUUUGGACUUGAAGAGAGAAUGAUCGGGAAAAUUCCAUGAAACAAAACAAAACAAAACAAAACAAACCGAGACCAGAAAAACCCCUCUUCCUUUGUUUACAUCUCAAUUUAUCAUUUUCUGUAAUGCUUUUGUAAUUCAGAAAUGCAGCCUUCUUCAACAUAACCUCCUGCCCUCCUCCUGCCCUCCGCUGGCCCCCAAAUGUCAUUGGAUUCUAUCCAAUGGGAAGAUAUAUGGGCUAUGAGAAGUUAAAAAAAAUGUGGCACCAGCUCUGCUGACUCCUUAUAUUCUUCUAAGUGGGCUUCAAGCCAUCGUUGACAUUUGUUUUUAAACAUCCUGUAAGCCAUGCCGUUUUAUCAAAUUAAAUUAAAAGCACAAUAUAUUCUCUUACAAUGACAAAACCUGAGUCAGGACUUCCAAGUUUGUAUUGUUAUUAUUAUUUUGCUUUUUACAAAGGAAUUAAAUUUUUUUUAAUUAAACCUGGCAUUGUUGGUCUGCUGUGCAUACUUAAUGCUAAUAAAGUACAUGCAUACCUUC